GUCAAUGUUGAUUCAAACUGCAGUCAACUGUGCCACUGCUAUUGGUCUGCCUUGCUAGUGAAACAGGACAUAUCCAGGGAUGAUGUUGGUAGAGUCUGGGACAUUUGCUUUAAGAUAUAAUUCUGUUAUGACACAGCUCUGGAGCAAGUGACACUUGAACCUGGGCCUUCUGGGUCAAAGAUCCACUACUAUCGCCCAAAAUGUCUACAAAGAAUGUUACAGAGAUAUCAUCUAGACUAGACAUUUAAAUGAAGGCAACGGAUGCAGCACUUCAUUGAAACAAGUAAAGGAUGCUAUAUGACAGCGAUCUUCCAGAACCAAGGUGAAGCAGCCACUUGACAUUAACCCUUACACAAAUCAAUCCUCAGUUGCCAACAAGAUACCCAACUUCAUGUGCUGCAAGAAGUUUGGAUGAAACAAUGAUGUGAAAGUAUGAAAGGCACUCCUGUGAUCACAAGGGAAUAUUGGGCAAACAGAAAUGAAUUGACAGCCCAAGAUGCACACAACAGAAGAGAUAGAGUCAUUAUCCCUGUGGAGAGAUACUAAAGUGUAAUCAUGCAAGGAAUUGAGUCAAGUCUGAGGAAGGCAGGAGAAGUGCUCUAUUGGUUAAAAGUGAGCAAUGAAAUCAUGGACCAUAUUAGGCAGUGCACAUAGACCCCAUCACUCUCAAAAGAACUGAUUACUUUAUCACCAUAGAGAAGACAGACCAGCUGACUUCAACGUACAUCUCGGAGAGAGACCAGCUGACUUUGACAACUAUCAGUGAAACUGUAGAAUGCCUGAAAAUGCACUUACAGCAUUGUGAUGUACAACAAUGGACCUCCGUUUACAAGUGAUAAAUUCAUGAGAACAAUCGAGUACUUAGUAUGGUAACUUGGUUAGCCACGUAAGUGACCAUACAUGCAAUAUAUUUGCAUAGAAGAGGAGAUAUUUGGGAUAGAACUUCAAAACUGUACUAUUGUGCCUCUUAGCUUACCAUAGUUAUGUAUUUAUUAUGUGACACAGGCUUUUGUCCUGUCAGCUCGUAACAGUAUAUGUUAAUGAGGCUAGUCCCUGAGUCAAUUGGGUUCCUCAGUUGCCAAUAAAAA